UACGUAGGGAGCGAGCGUUGUCCGAAGUUACUGGGCGUAAAGCGCGCGUAGUCGGGUCAUUAAGUCGGAUGUGAAAGCCCUCGGCUCAACUGAGGAAGUGCACCCGAAACUGGCGAGCUUGAGUACGAAAGAGGAUCGCGGAAUUCCCGGUGUAGAGGUGAAAUUCGUAGAUAUCGGGAGGAACACCGGCGGCGAAGGCGGCGAUCUGGGUCGAUACUGACGCUGAGGUGCGAAAGCGUGGGGAGCAAACAGG
rnacentral:rRNA from 1 species